UUUACUCCCGGGGAUGUCUCUAGCAGGAGCCCCGAAACCUCGCUCCCGCCAGCCUGCCCCGCCCCCUGCGCCGCGUCGAGGAGCGCUCACCCCGGCUUCACUCCUGCUCUCGGGGUUCACCUGCCUCCUCUGGAGUCCUCUGCGUCCCGCGACUCCUCUCAAUUUUGCGACCUCCUCUCCUCAAGGUGCCUCUUUACAGCUCUAGACUUUGCUCCACGCGCGUCCGCAGAAGCCAUUUCAAAAUGAAAGAAGACUGUUUUCACCUGGACCCAACAAAUGUUCAGGAAGCCUGUUCCAGCUGCUGGAGACGAAGAAGGAAAGUGAAGGUGCUGCUGAGUCCCCUGCCCUCAUGGGACUUAGCAUCUUACUGGGUUUCUUUGUUUUGUUUGUUUUGCUUAGCAUCCAUCUUACUGGGUUUCUUUGUUUUGUUUGGUUUGUCUUUUUGCCUUUUCUAGGGCCGCUGCUCCCGUGACACAUGGAGGUUCCCAGGCAAGGGGUCUCAUCGGAGCUGUAGCAGAGCCACAGCAACGUGGGAUCCGAGCCAAGUCUGAGACCUACACCACAGCUCAUGGCAAUGCUAGAUCUGAGCGAGGGCAGGGAUCGAACCUACAACCUCAUGGUUCCUAGUCGGAUUUGUUAACCACUGAGCCACGAGGGGAACUCCAGCAUCUUACUGGUUAACACGAGGCUUUCCAAAGCGUUGUCGCCGGUUUGGGGAGGAACUUAUUAAAUCAUUUCUUUUGGUUUAUAAUUAAAAGUAGCUGGUAGUCGAACACUGUACUGUGUGACUUUACGAUGGAAUCUUCUUCCAGGAGGGUGUCUUGUGUAUAAAUUCUAGUAUGCAGAUAAUAGCUGGUAGGUAUAAAAUAAAUAUUAGUUUGUUGCUUCCAGCAAGAAAUUCAAGUUUAAUACUAUCAACAGUAAUUUCCAAAAUGACCUUUUUGAUUUGUUGUUGACUGCCAUAAACCCAGAACUAAAACUGUUUUGUUUUUCAGGUGAGACUGAUCCUUUUGUAGAAAUAUAAUUCAUGUUGUCGUUGAAGAUCGAAAUAUAAAACCCUUUGCUAAUGGAAUUUUUAAAUUAGGAACCAUGGUCCUAGAAAUUUACAAGUACAGAGUGUUCUGUACUCUAAUCAGUUAAGAAAGAGAGAUUUGUGUCAAAAAGAAAAAGGGAAGCAAGAGAGACCAUUUAAAGCGGAUCUAAUUAUUAUCAUCACAUUUUAACAUGUCCUAAGAUAGUGAUUGGCUUUAUUCAAGGAACACUCCAUUUUGCAACUCACUACAUUUACUUCUUCCAGGUUGGGUUUUUUUAUUCCAUUUUUGUAUGUUUUCUAUAUACAUGUUGUUUUAUAAGCAUGUAUGUUAUCUUUUUCAAUUAGAAUUCAUUUACAUUGCUUUAUUAUUUAAUCAAUAGCAAGAUUGGCCAUUGACACAGAUUUGAUUUUAAAACUCAAUUAUUUUCCAGCAUAUACUUAGGACUAUAUGUAAGAGUUAAACACAAAGCAAAUUCCUUUACCCACGUGAGUGUAAUUGAAGAGAAGUUUUCUCAACAGCAUCCUAUGCUUGCUUAACGUUCAGAUAGGCCAACAUUGCAGCUAAAAUUAUUUCCUUGGUCACCAUUUAUCUUCAGUAGUUAUUAUCAUAGUUUAUUUUCAUCUAAGUGCCAUUGUUGAUCAUUCUGCCCGUACUACCCUAUAUUUUCUCUGAUACAACAAUAUUUCCCUGAGUGGACUGUCCAACAUUAGACUUCCUUUAAUGGGUUUAGAUAUAAAUAAUUGUAUAAAGUUCUGCUUAAAUGCAAUUGUUAGUUCAGAAAUAUGCUAUGUAAAUAAUAUUGAAGAAUUAAAACUAAAUUUUAAAAAAAUUAUACCAAAAGUUUCAAAAAUACGAUAAUAUGCACAUUAUACUAUUUUGAAUUAAUGACAAAAUCUGUACGAAAUAUUUUUAUUUUUACAUUUGUACUUUUUUUAGUAGAACAAAGCAAUUACAGUGUAAAAAACACAUUUCCAGAUGUAUUUCCUUGAAUUUUUAAAACUCCAGCUUCUGCGCAGUAUUUCUGAUGAUACUUAGAGUCUAUGUAAACUGAACGGGUUAAGGCCCCUUCCAUUAAUAUGCAAACUUUACUUCCUAGUACAGCCAGUAUGUAAACCAAUAGGAUUUGGAGAAGAGCAUGAAAACUGCAGAAGGAAAGCUAUUGAUCCCUUUCAUCUUAUUUUCAUAGGUACUAAUGGCAUACCCAUGCCGUCUCCAAGGUGAGAGACAGAGAAAAUGCAAAAGAGAAAAUUCAGAGGUGGAAGAUUAAUCUUAGACAUGGCACAGGAUUUUCUACGGAGUCCUACUAAAAGACAGGUAAGUAGCUCUUGGUGCCACGAUUGUUAUAAACUCUUAUAGUUGCUACUGUGUGAAUGGAUGUAACAUUUUAUUGUGCAUAAGCUAUCUUCUUUACAAAAUAAAACAAACAAAUCAACAGCUAUUACCAUUGUAAAAUUUUAACAUAGUCCAGACUGGGUGUAUGGAUUAGGGAGAAAUAUUGUUUCCCAGUUCAUCAUGUGGUCACUUGCCUGGAGGAUGAACCAUGUCAGAAGAGAAAAGGCAGGUAGUUUCUAAUCACAAUACAUGGGCACAGACCUGUCUUUUUAUGCAUAGAAUCAUGUGCUGUCGAUAAAACCCCUGUGGUGUUGUUUUAUUCAUGAAUACAGGUCAACUUAGGCAAUUUUGAAGGAAAGAAUAAGAAUCCAAGGAAGCCACCUCAAUUCAUUUCCCUCCAAAUUCUCUUCUUAUCUUUGCUAAAUAGUGUUGUUUUUAUUUUCCAUGGAGGAAAUCAGGAAAUGGCAUAUUGUGCUCUGGCAAAUUAAUUUCCAUGUGUCAACGUAGUUUUCACAGUGGGCAUUUUUACACUCUGCUUUAUAAAAUUAGUUUCAUUUCAUAUUUUCAUGCAUCAGCCACACAGUUGAUGUUUUUAGAGCCCUGUAGUGAUCUUCUGUUGUAAUAGGACUGAUUUUGGUUGGCCAUCUCCUAUUCCCAGCCAUUUUGGUUUUCCCAGUUAUUAUUUUUUUUUUGUGGUCAUAAGUAGCAUCAAUCUAAAUAUUUGUAAGUAAAUAACUUUUUAAUCUGUAUAUUUCCUUGGAAGAUGUUGCAUAAUGUAGGAUUCUUUGUGUCAAAUCAUGUCUAAUAGUUUCACAGUUCAUAAUGUCUUUUUAUUUUCCCAAACUAAAACAAUUGAAAAUGUGACCAGGAGUUCCCAUUGUGGCUCCACGAUAACAAGCCCAACUAGUGUCCAUGAGGAUGCAGGUUCGAUCCCAGGCCUCACUCAGUGGGUUAAGGAUCCAGCAUUGCUGUGAGCUGCAAUGUCAGUCACAGAUGCAGCUCGGAUCUGGCAUUGCUGUGGCUAUGGCUGUGGCAUAGGCCCACAGCUACAGAUCCAAUUUGACCCGUAGCCUGGGAA
rnacentral:lncRNA from 1 species